rnacentral:lncRNA from 1 species
AUAAUAACAUUAUCAAGAAUGUUCCUCCCCUCUAUGAAGGCCGACUGGGACUGCCCAACUAAAUAAUCCACAACUAGCUUUAGCCUAUUGUUAGAAUCUUAGAAAUGAUUUUAUACAGUGUUGAACAGCAGGCAAUGGGUCGAUGUACUUUGACAUAGCUGGGAUUAUUCAUUUUGGAAUCAAUGUGAUAGUUGUGCAAUUAAUCUGUUUCAAGAGUUUUCCAAUUUGGAAGAACUACUGCACUGCCUGUAUAAUU